GCAGUCGUGGCCGAGUGGUUAAGGCGAUGGACUCGAAAUCCAUUGGGGUUUCCCCGCACAGGCUCGAAUCCUGUCGGCUGCG
rnacentral:tRNA from 1 species